rnacentral:rRNA from 1 species
UACGUAGGGUGCAAGCGUUAAUCGGAAUUACUGGGCGUAAAGCGUGCGCAGGCGGGUGUGCAAGACAGAUGGGAAAUCCCCGGGCUCAACCUGGGAACUGCAUUUGUGACUGCACGGCUGGAGUGCGGCAGAGGGGGAUGGAAUUCCGCGUGUAGCAGUGAAAUGCGUAGAUAUGCGGAGGAACACCGAUGGCGAAGGCAAUCCCCUGGGCCUGCACUGACGCUCAUGCACGAAAGCGUGGGGAGCAAACAGG